UACGUAGGGGGCUAGCGUUGUCCGGAAUCAUUGGGCGUAAAGCGCGCGUAGGCGGCCCGGUAAGUCCGUUGUGAAAGUCAAAGGCUCAACCUUUGAAAGCCGAUGGAUACUGCCGGGCUAGAGUCCGGAAGAGGCGAGUGGAAAUUCCUGGUGUAGCGGUGGAAUGCGCAGAUAUCAGGAGGAACACCGAUAGCGAAGGCAGCUCGCUGGGACGGUACUGACGCUGAGGCGCGAAAGCGUGGGGAGCGAACAGG
rnacentral:rRNA from 1 species